CACUUAGAAGAUGGGCAAGAGGUGUAAAGAAGCAUUUCAUCAGUGAAGAUAUACAAACUGCAAAUACGCACAGCAAAAGGCAUUCAACUUUCCUAGCCAGGAAGUGACAGGAGAUGAGGAUAUUCAGGCUCAGAGAGCAGUUUGCGCAAGAUCUGGGGUUUGACAGAGCAAACUCUAACGGGACCUUCCUCCAUUCAGCAAACAGUCAUCUCACCCGUUUCUCAACACACACCAUGGUGACAAUGAUCAACAACAGCUCAGGGGAGAGCUGAAUGUGAAAGCAGCAUUUCUAAGGUGCAACCCCAGGGAUAGCAAAAGCCUUAAAUUAUAGGAAGCACAAUGCUGAAGUAGAGACGUUGAAGAAUGAACAUGAACAUGAACAAGAGAUUUUGAAUGAAAGUGAGGAUGUUGCUAUGGUCCUUAUUUUACAAUAUUGUGUCAUUUACUUUGACUAUUUUUUAUUAAAAAGCUAACCCCUGGCUCCCUCCUAAUCCUUUUGCUCUCAGUUUCUGGCUCUCACAAUGGGAAAUAAUAUAUAUAGUAAAUGAAAAUAUUUCUUUUCUCUCUUUUUUUGCUCUGGGAUUAGGGCAAAGAACUGUACUGGAAUCCAUUUUUAUUUAAUCAUGUGUUCUGAAUUCAAGGCCUCGGUCAAAUUAUAUGUAUUACAAAUAUUUUCCCCCACUGUGGCUUGCAUCAUUACUUUCUUCCUGGCUUCUUAGGGUAAACAGAAUUUUUAAAUUGUCAUUUGGUCAAUUUUAUCAAUUUUAUCAUUACCAUUAGUUUUUGUGUGUGUGCCUUGUUUAUUUCCCUACACAAAAGCCAUGAAAAUAUUUAUUUUAUCUUCUAAGAACAUUAUUAUUUUCCUUUCAAAUUUUAAUCUACAUCUACCUGAUGCAAUUUUUGUAAAUUAUAUAGAAUUUUGACAGGUUAUGGUGCAUCUGUGCACCAAUCAGCGGGCAAAAUGGCAUCUUAGCAAUAUUGAGUAUUACAAUCCAUGAACACAGUAUUUCUCUCAUU